GAUGAACGCUGGCGGCGUGCUUAACACAUGCAAGUCGAACGGUGAAGGCGGAGCUUGCUCUGCUGGAUCAGUGGCGAACGGGUGAGUAACACGUGAGCAAUCUGCCCCUGACUCUGGGAUAAGCGCUGGAAACGGCGUCUAAUACUGGAUACGAGCUGCGAAGGCAUCUUCAGCAGCUGGAAAGAAUUUCGGUCAGGGAUGAGCUCGCGGCCUAUCAGCUUGUUGGUGAGGUAAUGGCUCACCAAGGCGUCGACGGGUAGCCGGCCUGAGAGGGUGACCGGCCACACUGGGACUGAGACACGGCCCAGACUCCUACGGGAGGCAGCAGUGGGGAAUAUUGCACAAUGGGCGAAAGCCUGAUGCAGCAACGCUGCGUGAGGGACGACGGCCUUCGGGUUGUAAACCUCUUUUAGCAGGGAAGAAGCGAAAGUGACGGUACCUGCAGAAAAAGCGCCGGCUAACUACGUG
rnacentral:rRNA from 1 species